AGCAUAUUAAUAAGCGGAGGAAAAGAAACUAACAAGGAUUCCCUCAGUAACGGCGAGUGAAGCGGGAAGAGCUCAAAUUUGAAAUCUCCGAUGCUUGCAUCGGCGAGUUGUAGUUGCGAGAAGCACUUUCUAGGCGGAUCGACGGUGCCUAAGUUGCUUGGAACAGCACGUCGCAGAGGGUGACAACCCCGUCUGUGGCGCCGCCGGCCGCCGACGAUGUGCUUUCGAAGAGUCGGGUUGUUUGGGAAUGCAGCCCAAAACGGGUGGUAAACUCCAUCUAAAGCUAAAUACUGGCGUGAGACCGAUAGCGAACAAGUACCGUGAGGGAAAGAUGAAAAGAACUUUGAAAAGAGAGUUAAAAAGUACGUGAAACCGUCGAAAGGGAAACGAAUGGACUCAGCAAUGCGCCCUCUGAGAUUCAGCCGGUGGGUGGCGGCGGCGCCGGGUUUGCGGAUCUGAAUGGACCGCGGCCUGGCGCCCGCCUCUCCCCGCCGUCGCACUUCUCUGGGGCGCGCGUCAACGUGGGUUGGGACUGGGUCUGAAAGGCGCCGGGAAGGUAGGUGUGGGCCUUCGGGUCCGUUCUGUUACAGCCCGGUUCUCUCAUGGCUCGGGCCCGACCGAGGAGCGACACGGGGCAUGCCUCCUGUGGCUAGGGUCCCGCCCUUCCGGCCGGCUGUCCAGUGCGGUGGACUGCUUGCAGUGCUCCGCGACGGCUGCCGGUCGUUGGGGUGGUGAUCUCGUACCAUGCCCCUAGGAUGUUGGCGGUC
rnacentral:rRNA from 1 species